rnacentral:rRNA from 1 species
UACGAAGGGGGCUAGCGUUGUUCGGAAGUACUGGGCGUAAAGCGCGCGCAGGCGGUUUUUCAAGUCAGUGGUGAAAGCCCGGAGCUCAACUCCGGAACUGCCAUUGAAACUGUAAAACUUGAGGACGAGAGAGGUGAGUGGAAUUCCCAGUGUAGAGGUGAAAUUCGUAGAUAUUGGGAAGAACACCGGUGGCGAAGGCGGCUCACUGGCUCGUAUCUGACGCUCAGGCGCGACAGCGUGGGGAUCAAACAGG